rnacentral:rRNA from 1 species
GCAAGUCGAACGGCAGCACGGGAGCAAUCCUGGUGGCGAGUGGCGAACGGGUGAGUAAUACAUCGGAACGUGCCCAAUCGUGGGGGAUAACGCAGCGAAAGCUGUGCUAAUACCGCAUACGAUCUACGGAUGAAAGCAGGGGAUCGCAAGACCUUGCGCGAAUGGAGCGGCCGAUGGCAGAUUAGGUAGUUGGUGAGGUAAAGGCUCACCAAGCCUUCGAUCUGUAGCUGGUCUGAGAGGACGACCAGCCACACUGGGACUGAGACACGGCCCAGACUCCUACGGGAGGCAGCAGUGGGGAAUUUUGGACAAUGGGCGAAAGCCUGAUCCAGCCAUGCCGCGUGCAGGAUGAAGGCCUUCGGGUUGUAAACUGCUUUUGUACGGAACGAAAAGGUUCUUUCUAAUAAAGAGAGCUCAUGACGGUACCGUAAGAAUAAGCACCGGCUAACUACGUGCCAGCAGCCGCGGUAAUACGUAGGGUGCAAGCGUUAAUCGGAAUUACUGGGCGUAAAGCGUGCGCAGGCGGUUAUAUAAGACAGUUGUGAAAUCCCCGGGCUCAACCUGGGAACUGCAUCUGUGACUGUAUAGCUAGAGUACGGUAGAGGGGGAUGGAAUUCCGCGU